rnacentral:rRNA from 1 species
UACAGAGGGUGCAAGCGUUGUUCGGAAUCAUUGGGCGUAAAGCGCACGUAGGCGGCUUGUUAAGUCGGGUGUGAAAUCCCUGGGCUCAACCUAGGACGUGCACCUGAAACUGGCGAGCUUGAGUGUCGGAGAGGUUGGUGGAAUUCCCAGUGUAGAGGUGAAAUUCGUAGAUAUUGGGAGGAACACCGGUGGCGAAGGCGGCCAACUGGACGAACACUGACGCUGAGGUGCGAAAGCGUGGGGAGCGAACAGG